UUUUUUUUUUUUUCUGACUCACAGCAGCCUUUGAUAUUUGAAAGGGAGACCAUUAAUAGAUCAUAAUCUCUUUAUUUUGAUUUUCCAAAAAGUGCUCCCAGCAAGGAAAGAUCUGGGUGUGUACACAACAACAUGAAACCUCCUGUUUGAACAAUAGACACCUGCACAGGAGCCAAACAAAGAGACCAGCUCCCGCCCACCAGGUUCUCACUUCAAGCAAAAGCUCAAGAGGAUGGACAAGAGACAGCAGGCUCCCCUGAGCCAGAGAGGUCUACAAAUUCAUCUAGGGUUCAAGGAUUAUAACAGUCAACGACUACAGCAGUUUCAAACUCACCAGCAGAUCCAGAUCCAUGUGUGGUAUGGGACCUCCCACCUGCGUCUUGGUCUCCUGUCAUGGGCAAUGAUGGAAGAAUACGUUGGGGUUCAGAACAUGAGAUCUUCUUGGAGAAAGCAGCCAAAGAAACUGUGGUAGCAGGAAGAACAGCUUUGAAUACACCAGCCCUCCACCGAGGAUCACCAGAGAUGACAGAGCUUUGCCCAUCCAUGCAGAUUGGUAGGUGGCCCUCUGCACUUGAAAGGCCAAAGAAUUGGUAUCGCUGGCAUUUUUGCUACCUCAGACGGAAGAGGCAGGUGACUGAAAAUUAUACCACAAUGAUCACUAUUUUGUUAGUAAUCUUGCUGGAGAAACAAAUACUCUGAGCAGCCAGAGCUUUUCUGUAGAUGGUUCUGAGAAAGAACAUCUACCUGGAAUAGCAAUAUGGUUUAGCUUCAUAACUCUGAAUGUUUCUCAGACACCCAUGGUAAUUCGAAUCAAAUACAAACUAUAAUAUGAGCAAGCCAUUCAUAGCCAAUGAAAGAAAAACAAGAUGCAUUACAGUCAAUAGAAAAAGUCCAGAAGCAACCCAUCACCAUCAGAAAAGUGCGUUGAAAAAAAAAGAGGUAUAUAUCCAUAUAACAGUUCCCUGAUAUUGUCAUACACAAAUAUUUGGGUUAGAAUAGCAUAAACAUCUAACAGAAGGAUCACGACAAAAUUAGAAUGUCUUUUAUGAAAAGGCUAUUUGCAAAUCCAUCUUCUUUCAAAGCUUAUUUUGAUACCCAAAUAACACAAAACUAUUUCACAAGAGAAUAAUGUCUAGAAUCAUGAAACACAUUCUCAAUAGGCAUGAAAAAUGGUAGCUAUCCUUCCCCUCCAAAAGGAAAAGGGUAUCCUGUUGAAUCACAGGCAUAGACACUCAGCAAAAAAGUGAAUGGAAAUUGAAAAAUAUGCUCUAGAGAUGAAGAAAUAGUGAAGGAAGUUUCCCCUGGAGCCUGAUCAUACAGUUUAUUUGCAGGUUGAUCUUUUGGGGUCACCAUCCAAGGGAUUUUGGUUUCCCAAGUAUCAAAACCAUCUCUUUUACAGAUGGACCUACCCAAGACUGGGCCACAUCCUGAACCCAGGAGACAGUGUACUCAUAAACUCCAGUGAUUUGGGUUAUUUGGUUUUCUUUCUGAAGGUAUUAAAAAGAGCAUAGAAGGGCUGG